UCUCUGCCCUUUACGGAGCCUGAGGUUUUACCAGAGAAUUUCCUCAGAAAAAGAGAAACCACUUUUGAAGAAACGUUUCGAAGUUUAUCUUGGGGCAUUUCCUCCUUUAACAGUAGAGAGAUCUCAGCGGGGAAUUGCUCUCAUUCAGGUUAUGGUAUUUCGGUCUUCAAAGUAUGCCAUCAGAAUCUGAUAAAUGGGGAUGGAAACAUGUUAGUGUGUUUGGUGGGUUUGACAAGGGAAGUGGUACAAAAAGAUGGAAAUGCAAUCACUGUAAUCUACGAUAUAAUGGAUCUUAUUCACGUGUUAGAGCACACCUUCUUGGGUUCACAGGUGUAGGGGUUAAAAGCUGCCCAGCAAUAGACCGGUCUCUGAGAGAAGCUUUUCAGAUCCUUGAGGAGGAACGCCUUGCUCGGAAAAAGAAAAGAACUUCUGGAAGUGGAAAGACUGGCAAGCGUAUCCGGACUUCACAACCAAGUGUUACUUGUGUCUGGAAAACUAUUGCAAAAGAAGAUGUAGAUGACAUAGUAGCCAGAUUUUUUUAUGCUGAUGGGUUGGAUUUCAAUAUUGUCAAUUCCCCCUACUUUCUUGAAAUGACCAAAGCAAUUGCUGCUUUUGGCCCUGGAUACGAACCACCAACAACGGAGAAGUUGUCUGAUUUGUUUCUGAGUAAAGAGAAGGCUAAGAUAGAGAAAGCCAUGGCUCUAGUUAGGGAGUCCUGGCCUCACACAGGCUGCACGAUACUCUGUGUCAAUCGGUUAUGUCGUACGCAAGGCAGGUACUAUACUAAUAUCUUUGUCUCAAGUCCAAGAGGGCUUAUGUUCUUGAAAGCACUAGAUAUAAAUGAUGGUGAUGGGAUGGACAACAUGUUUGUUGAUGUUCUUAGUGAUGCAAUCAUGGAAGUUGAGCCUACAAAUGUGCUUCAGAUAAUCUCAAAUCUAGGCCAUGCCAGUGAAUCUUUUGAAUCCCUUAUAUUGUCAAAGUUCCCUCAUCUAUUUUGGUCCCCUUGCACUUCACAUUCUAUCUGUGUGUUGAUGGAGGACAUAACUAAACUGGAUUGGAUAAAACCCAUUGUGUUAUGUGCUAAGGAAAUAGAUGAAUGCAUCCUGACGUAUCAACGUUCCUCUCUGUGUGUUCUCGCUCUAGAGAGCUCUGAUCCACUUUCCACCAAGUUUGCCCCUUCAUAUUGUAUAGUCGAGCGAAUUUUUGAGCUAAAGCAAGCGCUCCUAGGUGUAGUUGUUAGUGAAGAGUGGAAACAAUGGAAGCUUACUAUUCAAGAGGAUGUCCUCAAUGUUGAGACCGCCAUUUUAGGGGACAAUUUCUGGAGCAGGGCCUGUUCAUUGUUGCAGUUUUUUGAGCCCUUUGUAAGAUUACUUACUACACUUGAUAUUGAAAAAUCUGUCAUGGGUGAUGUUUUUAAUUGGCGGGUUCAGGCACUGGAAGCUGUGAAGAGUAAGGGAGUCGAUGACAUUCUGUUGAAUCAACUGGAAUUGCUGAUAGAGAGCAAAUGGGACAUGUUAUUUUCCCCUCUUCAUGCUUCAGGUUAUAUACUUAACCCUAAAUAUUUUGGGAAAGGGCAAUCCAAGGAUAAAACUAUAAUGAGGGGUUGGAAGGCCACUCUAGAUAGGUACGAGUCUGACAGUGCCACCAGAAGGGUUCUUAGAGAGCAGCUGAGCUCUUACUGGCGACUAGAGGGAUCCUUUGGGGAGGAAGAUGCUGUGGAUUGUAGAGACAAAAUGGACCCAGUUGCAUGGUGGGAGAAUUUUGGUUUUGAAACACCCCAUCUACAAACACUAGCUAUAAAAAUUCUGAGUCAGGUUUCAAGUGUUUCCAUGUAUCAAGAGACUUGGCAAGAUAAUGAGUUUUUGUGUCAAACAGCAGUCAACAGGUUGGGAGUGGAGAGGGUGGAAGAUCUAGUGUUUGUUCGAAACAACCUUAGACUUCAUAGUCAAAGAAAUGGGAAUUCAAGCUCUUCACCCGGCAACAGGAAUCAAAGUUCAAGCCCAGCAUCUGGAGAUAAGACAUGGGAGAGUGUUCAUAUUGAUCAAAUGAAGGGGAUAGUAAAUGUCCAUAAUAUAUUGUAAAUAGAAACUACUUCUAUAUCAUCACUCUACUUGAAACCUGGAAGAGAAUUACAGCAGAAAUAGUGAUGCAUUGAAGUCAUGAAUUAGAAAGCUUAGUUUUUUGCUUCUGUGGACAACAUACAAUAAAACCUGGCACUGGAGAACAGAAAAAAGCCGGUUUGUUUAUGAUAUAGGCUCAAUUGAUGUGUCCUACGUUUCCAUCUAAUGCAGCAAAUUAAAAUUUUGAAUUCAAAAGAAUUUCAGAAGAUGGGAGGCUGGACUUGAUGGGACAGAGUGAAGGAACUUCGAUAAAAAGGUUAUUUUAACAUCUGGGUGUAGCUAUAAAGGCAACCCACAUCCUAAAAGGAAUUCAAUGGCACGUUUCAAGUGCAGCAUGUGAAUGGGUUUAUGUUUUCAAUGCAGAGAAAGAUGCGUCAACUGACAUUACUCUACUUAAAGAUUUGACUUAUAUCCGAGGCAACUCUACCUUCUGACUGAUGCUGAGCAACUCGAAGAGGGUUCCCAGCUGGAUUUUGCAGUGAAAAUAAAACCUUUGGCUGAUGGUACAGCAAGUUGUGGUGAUGAAGUUGCUGCAACAGUGUCUUACUUUACCCAUUGAAGAUUUCGAGAAUUAAGGCCAAAUCAAGUGUCAUUUGGACCCAAUGACACAUGGGAUGGAGCAGCUGAUGUGUCCAGAAAUUGAGCAGUAGGAAACCUUUCAUGGGAAUGGAUGAUGGAUCAAUCCAUAAUGUGUGUGUCCACACUCCUUGGGUUGGAGAGUGCUUUAUACUGAACACCUUUUAUAGUGGUGCACUCACCAUGAAUCUUUGUAGCAAUGUAUAAUGUAUUUGUUUUUUUUUUUUUCCUUUUUCUAGUGGGAAAGCAAAGUGUUAGGAGUAGAUUAUUGCAGCUGCUUAGAGAGGAGAGGGGUAUCUACUUUAUGGGAGUUAAGUACACUACAGGAUAUAUCAGCUGGUCAUGGUCAAACCUCA